rnacentral:lncRNA from 1 species
CUAUCCAGGGUAAAUAGGAAUGUUUAGUGAAUGGAAACAGUCAAAUCUUAGGACGUGUGUUGGAUGCUGACCUGGGACUAUGGUGGCAGUUCUGAGUGCACAAAGUGCCAAUGUCAGGGAGAGCACCAAUCGUGUGACUGGGCAUCUUAUCUGGGAGCAAGGUUCAGUUCCCAGCACACACAGAGGAAGGGUCUCUUACAGCAUCUUCUGGUCACCAUACAUACCACACACGCACAUGUGAUAUACACACAGACAAAUAUCAUACAUACACACAAAUAGAAAUAAUUUUAAAACAAUAAGAAGUGAAUUUUCCUAAAACAGACUGUAAGUAUAAGUACUGAAGCAGGCUGGGCAGUGGUGGCACACGCCUUUGAUCCCAGCACUCAGGAGGCAGAGGCAGGUGGAUUUCUAUGAGUCUGGGCCAGCCUGGUCUAUGGAGUGAGUUCCAGGACAGCAAGGAAGCCCUGUCUUGUGUAAAAAAAUGAACCUUUGUAAAGAGUAACAGUGGCAAGACCUGGGUGUUUGAUAAUGACAAAUCUGUAUCCAUGUGUGUUUAUAUGCUACUUUAUAUUCCAGGGGAAAAGUAUGGGAGGGCACACAUGGAUGGUGGGAAGUGGCUGACACAGUAGGUUAUGUGGAGUCAGGGAGAAGGAGAAGGAGAGGUUGGAAGUAAAAUAUGGAAAUGACUGAAAUAAGUACCAUAUCUCAAAUACCUGUGUGACCACGCUGGGGCAGAGUCGGGAGGGAAGGAAGCUGAAAUUCUACUUUGCAGGGAUGGAUGCUCCUGCUCUGUGAAGUAAAAAGGGAAGUCUGCAUAAUGUCUGUGAUUCUACCUAAACAAGAGUGAGUUGAGGAUGUAGCCCAGGGACAGAAAACUUGCAAUCCCCUAGGUUCAGCCCCCAGCACUAUAAAAAACACAUUUAAAGCCGGGCGUGGUGGCGCACGCCUUUAAUCCCAGCACUCGGGAGGCAGAGGCAGGUGGAUCUCUGAGUUCGAGGCCAGCCUGGUCUACAGAGUGAGUUCCAGGACAGCCAGGAGUACACAGAGAAACCCUGUCUCGAAAAACCAAAAAAAAAAAAAAAAAAAACAUUUAAAACCCUGUCUGUGUAUAUGUAUGCAUAAAAUUUAUAUGAGCAAAAAAUAUGGAAAGCUAUUCAAUCAGCUGUUACCAGUGGUUACCUUAGUAGAAAGAUGAAUAUAGACAAUCAUUUGACUUACAAAUCUUUUUAGUUUUUGGUUUUAUCACGUGUAUUCGUGUUCUGUCUGUACAUCACAGGUGUUCCUGAUGCCAAUGGAUGUCAAAAGAGGGUGUUAGAUCCACAGAUGGUUGUGAGCCACCAUGUAGGUGCUUGAAAUCAAACCAAGGAUCUAAUGAUGCA